ensembl:lncRNA
CCCGCUGUUUAAGCCGUCAAUGUUGACGGUGUGGAGGAUUCAGCGUUUUCACAUACUCAGAGGCUGCUUGAGUGACCCAGAGGUUGCAGAGGGAAUCCUUUACAGAUAUGGCGGAACAGUGCAGCUCAACCAUGUCAAGGGAGAGGGAGCUACUGUGCCCCUGUGGAUCCCUGUGAGAGGUACAUCACAGCAGGAGGGGUUCCAUUUCCAUCAAGCAAAAUGGGUGACGGGUAACAAGGUCUCCACAGAACUCUUCCAAGCUCAGGGCAUGAUUGGUGUGGCUCGGUGGAAUUUCAAGCGCCUUGUGGACCUGAAGUUGCCUGAUGUGAAGCUGCCUGCAGUCUUUGAUCCAGUACUGAUGAUGGAGCUGAAUAAGCUCUCUGAAGUGCUGACAGGUCAUGCCAAGUACCCUGCCUUGCGUGUUUCACACACUGACACAGGAGAAAGGUUUGGACUCCAGUAUCUAGAACCUGGCUGUCGUCCUGCGCCGCUGGACUGCAGCAAGCACAAGACCCAGAAGGUUCCUGUUGCAGGAGAGAGAGAGCACCACUCCUCAGAACCGUCUCUUCUCAGUGAGACAUUCACUGAAGACCCAUCUGAGGAGACGAGGGAGGAAGACUGUGCUCCGGAUGACCUCUUUGGUGUGGCUUCCCUUGGCUCACAUGCAGUGGCCCAACCCUCACAGCCAUUCAAAGUUCAAGUUCUCCCAGUCCCAGUGACGCCACCGAUGCCCAUGUCUGCCUCUCUACGUGCUGCACGCACAGUUCUAUUCCCAGUCCCAGUCCCAGUGACGCCACCGAUGCCCAUGUCUGCCUCUCCACGUGCUGCACGCACAGGUCCAGUCAAGGCAGGCGGCCUACUUUUUGUCCUGGACCAAUCCCGGUGGACACAGCCAAUGAGGGAUGCCAUCGAUGGCCUUCUGGCAAAGCACCAUGGCCAGAAAGACCUCCUCACCAAGGUGGAUGCAGAGUAUGCUGCCCUUGUGCUUGCUGCCUCCAGAGAUCCGAACAACUUGUUACAUCCGACCACCAAACAGCACAUCUCACGGUAUGUGAAACACCAGGCCAAGCUGAUGAACAGAAGUUUGUGUCUGAAUACCAGUCCAGAGAAACUCCUUGAGACACAAGAGCUGUGGCAUCAUCUCACAGAGGGUAGUGAAACUGUUUGCGUCCCGGUGGUAACCCUCCCACCUGCACCUGUGAAUCCGCCCAGCAGUAAGUCGCAAGAGCCCUCUCUCACAAAGGCUGAAAUUGAAAACCUGGUCAAAGAGCUUGUGCAAAAGCAGCAGCAGCAGCAGCAGCAGCAGCAGCAGCAACAACAACAGCAGCCUGUGCCAAAAAAAAUUAGGAACUGUCUUGCAUGUGGCCAGCCUAAGUCCCGUUACCUUGGCGAUGGCUCCUCCAUUCACUUCUUUUACCAGGCAGGAAAGAGAGAGCUGGAGGCAGCAAAGCAGCGGUCUGCUGAGUCCAGGCAGGUAACAGAAGAGCGGGGAAAGAGAAAGGCCAUGGAGCAGCUUCCCACUGGUCGCCUGUGUAGGUUCUGCCACAAACCUAUAAAACAAGGCCCAGGCGGUCGGCAUACACACACUGGGUUCCCUGGUGUGACCGGGAAAUAUGUGUACUGUCCUUCAAAAGUUUUUCACCUGUAUCAGUCAGAGGGGAUGACUUCGGAGAUGUCUUGGGAGGAGUUCUGUCAGUCUCCCUUUUAUGAGACUGAAAAGAAGAGGUGGGUGGCAGAAAAGGGAAGGUGAUCGGCCCGUUUGGAACACUUUUAGUUAUUCAAUUUGGUUAAUCUUUUAUUUAUUUUUUUAUUUGGUUCUGGGUAUUUUCUGAUCAGAUGCUGGAA